GCAUUAAUCUUAUUCUGGUUAUUUUUGUACAUAUAGAACAAAAGUCUCCCUUUUUAUAUUUAAUCUUCACAUAUUUGAAGUUAGCUGCUACAGCCCCUAAGCUUUUUAUUUUCUUAAUCUUAUGUCAGAUGUUCUUUAUAUGAGAUGGAUCACCAUUUUUAUUGUUCUCCUUUGGACACAGUCAUUUGUCACGGUCACUCCUUAGGAUAUAGUGCAGCAUAUAUGAAUCUUCUUGUAUUGGGAUUCCACAAGAUGUUGCAUGAUGUUACUUGUCAUCAUGUUUGGAGUAAUUGUGCCUUAGAGAAGCUGACAUGGAGACAUGGAGAGAUUAUGGCUUCUUUUUGGGGAUCAAAGGAAAAUGAGAAGAAGAACUCAGCUAUACACCUGGAUCAACUCUUGAUAAUAUUCCAGACAUUGUUGUCAGAGAAUUAGUCAAGUUGGAACGUCAUGAAAGAUCUAUUGAACCAUGCUCCAGUAAAGCCUUGAAACUUGGGAAAAUAUAACCUGUGUGAAAGAGAGCAAUGUUUCUUUUCAUCUGUGAAAAUCUACUUACAGAAACAAAAACUAGGAGAAAGGUAACAUGGUGCUUUGCAUUCAGUUGCUCCAAUGUCACUAAAAAUAACACAAGUGAUGCUGCAUUUUUCUUCUCUCCAUAAUGAAUGGCCUAAGUGCAUUUGAUAAUUGCAUAUGACUGAGAAUAAUUUAAUUGAAAGUGAACUGUGGCUUUGCUUUUUGCAAAUGCAGGCAUUUUGGGUUUCUCAUUGGUUUAUUAUGUCUUACAUGAGGCCUUGCCACCAUAAAGAGAGGAAGCCCCUCAACACUUGAGACCUCAUGGAGAGGUAUCUUAACGGACACCAUAGAUGUCAACAAGUUAGGGGCAAUUUGAUAUUAUUCCUUGAAUUUUUUCACCUCCAUAAUACUAAAAAAUAAUUCAUCAUUAUCAUUAUCAUCUUAUCACAAUUCCUAUAAUCUGUAUAAUGCUUGAGAAUCUACAGAGCAAUUUCAUUUACAGGUGAAAAAAAGCAGGGUUUUUUUAUUGCUUAUUAAAAACAAAAUUCAGAAAAAUUAAGUGACUUCCCUAGAUUGCAUAUUUGAAGAACCAGAGUUUGUACCUUAGAAUCUAAACACAAUAUUUUCCCACUCUUAAGUGCCUACCUAAAGACAUGAUAAAAAGAAAAAAAUCACAAUAUACAUGCCUUUAGGACACCUGAGGAAGAGAGCCAAGAGGAAUGGGACUUUAUUACAAUAAGAAUUUUUUAAUUAAAUAUUUUUAAAUGUUUAAUUCCUAAUAAUAUUAAAUGGCAUUUAAUACCUGCAGUAUUAAAUCAGCAGUGAGCAAUAAUGAUAAGAAACUACAAAUCAAAAAGUGGUAGGCAGACCAUUUGGGUGGCUCAGUUAGGCCUCUGACUCUGGGUUUUGUCUCGGGUCAUAAUCUCAGGAUCCUGGAAUGGAGCCCUGCAUUGGGCCUUGUGCUCAGUGGGGAGUCUGUUUCUCUGACUCCCUCUCCCUCUGCUCCUCCCCUUACUUGUGCACCCACGUGCUCUCUUUCUCUCAAGUAAAUAAAAGGUGAUGGACAAGGGAAGAUACA
rnacentral:lncRNA from 12 species